rnacentral:rRNA from 1 species
AGAGUUUGAUCAUGGCUCAGGACGAACGCUGGCGGCGUGCCUAAUACAUGCAAGUCGAGCGGAUGAUGAAGAAGCUUGCUUCUUCUGAUUUAGCGGCGGACGGGUGAGUAACACGUGGGCAACCUGCCCUGUAGAUUGGGAUAACUCCGGGAAACCGGGGCUAAUACCGAAUAAUCCAUUACCUCACAUGAGGAAAUGUUAAAAGACGGUUUCGGCUGUCACUACAGGAUGGGCCCGCGGCGCAUUAGCUAGUUGGUGAGGUAACGGCUCACCAAGGCGACGAUGCGUAGCCGACCUGAGAGGGUGAUCGGCCACACUGGGACUGAGACACGGCCCAGACUCCUACGGGAGGCAGCAGUAGGGAAUCUUCCACAAUGGACGAAAGUCUGAUGGAGCAACGCCGCGUGAGUGAAGAAGGUUUUCGGAUCGUAAAACUCUGUUGUGAGGGAAGAACAAGUACGAGAGUAACUGCUCGUACCUUGACGGUACCUCAUUAGAAAGCCACGGCUAACUACGUGCCAGCCGCCGCGGUAAUAC